GUGCCAGCAGCCGCGGUAAUACGGAGGGUGCAAGCGUUAAUCGGAAUUACUGGGCGUAAAGCGUGCGUAGGCGGUUGUUUAAGUCAGAUGUGAAAGCCCCGGGCUUAACCUGGGAACUGCAUUUGAUACUGGGCAACUAGAGUUUAAUAGAGGAGAGUGGAAUUUCAGGUGUAGCGGUGAAAUGGGUAGAGAUCUGAAGGAACACCAGUGGCGAAGGCGACUCUCUGGAUUAAACUGACGCUGAGGUACGAAAGGGUGGGUAGCAAACAGGAUUAGAUACCCUGGUAGUCCACGCCGUAAACGAUGUCAACUAGCCGUUGGGUCUUUUAACAGGCUUAGUGGCGCAGCUAACGCAUUAAGUUGACCGCCUGGGGAGUACGGCCGCAAGGUUUAAACUCAAAUGAAUUGACGGGGGCCCGCACAAGCGGUGGAGCAUGUGGUUUAAUUCGAUGCAACGCGAAGAACCUUACCUACCCUUGACAUCCAGGGAAUC
rnacentral:rRNA from 1 species